CCCUCAUUAGCUUCUCAUAUUUUUCCCCAAAUUUCAAAAUGAGGAACCCUAGACCCUUCUCUCCUUCCUCCUUCUCGGCGAAGACACUGACAUCACGACAAUUAACCGGCCUGCGGUCUGUCGCCGGCGUCACCUUUGCGCAGCCGUCGGAAUCAGAGGAGGAUGCGUCUCCUCCGUGUCUCUCCCUCGCGACUGUUCCGUCAUCUUUCCAAGGUGAGCGACGAGGCUCCGGAAAACUCACUCACGUUCAGUGCCUUACGGAGACCUCUCCCUUCCGCCGUCGUUGCUGUCACGCGGUGGAUUAUCCAGGCAGCAGUUCUCGGCUCAUCCGACCGCCGUUGGUUCGUGGGCAGUCAGGCUGGGACGGCGUGGUCAGCUGUCGCUGCUGCGUGUCGGAAAUCGCCUGCGGUCUCGGCUCUCAACCGCACCUGAUGCACCGCCGUCGGGUCGCCGCUGGUUCACCGUCGGCGCCGCCAUUCUCUGACGGAAUAUCCCUAAAGCUAAGUCUUCUACCUUAGCUUAUAUCUGAUUAAGUUUCUCGGCAAUAGUUACUUAAAUUUUGAGAGUUAAGUCCGUGAUAACUGUGAUUGGAGCAUUCUCCUUUGGACUUGCUGAUAGAUUGGAUUUCUAAUUGGAGGAAUUGAUUUGAGUAGAAAAUCCCAGAACUUAGUUAUGCCUUCUAUGCGCAUGACACUAUUUUUUUGUGUUCUGGCCUGGUGUGCUCGUGAGAUGUUUGAGCCUAAGGCUCCUUGCUGUGUUCUGAUCUCCUAACUGAAAGUUGUGCCUAUUCCUUGUAUUUUCUUGCUGCACACUUUAACUGCAUUUGUGUACCCCUCUCGCAGGUACUAGUUGGAGUGCAGGUGGCUACUGGUUUGACUGGUAUGAGCUGUGGAGUGCAGGGAUAAUGCAGCCUCACACCUUCUUGUUUAGUGAGGCCGAACGGCAAAACCAGGAACUGGUAAUGGCUGGAGUAGGUACGAAAAGCCGUUUUAGGUACAUCGUCGGCUGCCACCCGAAUCUGGUGGUAUCCAGCUUUUAAGUCGAUUUUGCUGAACCACCUGGCCCCAUGAACGUCGUCGCACUACGCGUAAUCUCGGGACAAGAAAGCACCUGUUUGCAAGAGUUUAAGCAAUCGAGGUUGAUCGACGUCGAAGCCGAGGAGGUGUUGGGACAGAAGGCUAAAUAAGUAAGAAGAUAGCUGGUAUAGUAUGUCUUCAUACAUAUUACAUCUGUCUUGGUACUCUUCCGUUGCGCAAAUUUAGAACUUGUUCUAGUAAAGACAAUUGUUUCAUAACUACUCUGAUUCAUUAUAAUUUGUACCCUCAACACAUUUCAGACAAAGUUUCCUUUAAAUUAAGCAUCUUAUGAUGAGUUGAGACAGUUUCAGUAAGACUUAGUCGCGAUAUAGCUACACUUUCUUUGACUAGGGAGAUGUGGUCGUGACUCGUGACAUACACCAAAUGGAAAUAGAAUCGAUAGUUUCCCACGUUGAUCUAAGCAUCCAACUUUGGCAAUUGAACUAAAAAUUGCUGGAUGAAAACAAAGGAGAUGUUCCAAAGCAAGUUAUGAGGUGUGUUAUAAUGCUAACUUUUUUUAAUUGCUAACUUGUUAACUCAUCUGCGCAGUAUCUCCAAAUCUUUAACACAAAUUUAGUUGACACAUGUCUUUGUGUUGACUUUUAAAAAUAGAUGUCAACCCAAAGACAUAAGUGACAUGCUAAUGUCAUCGUGUCAACAUUGAUGAGUUAUUAAUUUAAGAAAAGUUAGUAAUCGAUCAACCCUCAGCUAGUUAGUGUGUAAAUAAAUAAAAGUUGUAACGCCCCACUUUUUGAACCCUAAUUUUCGAACCCUAAAUUUUUUUUUUGCAUUUAAUGUCGUGAGGUCCGUAGAUUAAAUGACGAGUGAAAUGAUUAUUUAAUAUUCUUGUGAACCUAAACCCUAAUCCCUUUUCAAAUCUCCUCUCCAAUCUGCAGUGAAUAAUUCUUACCAAAUUCAAAAUCAGUUCUAGGAAACAAUUAACUCCCAAAUUUAUUUUGAAAUCAAAUAUACACAAUAAUAAUAUUCAAGCGUUAUUCUUCUACUUCUCCAAAUCUGCAAAAAUCAAAUUCCCAAAAAUUAGUGUAGCCAACCUUUUCCCAAACGACAGUUUUAUUCUCAUCAAUUUUCCAAUUUACUACCCUAAUCGCACGCCUAUUUCAAUCUCUCCAACCUUAAACUGUACUAAUCCUACCGCCUCCUCCAUAAUACUCCAUUCACAACUAAAGUUUCAUCCCACACUUUUUACUCCCUUGAAGUUCUGCAAGAACAAGGCAACUCUCACUCAAUUGAGUGCAAGGUAAAUCACUUCCUCUGCUUCACCAUUCCUCUCGAUUACCGUUGAUUUGGACUAUGCAACUUUGCUAAACUUGUCCACUGCUGUCUUCUACUUAAUUAAUUUAAUAAAUUUGUCCCCUCUCACAUUUAUACGUAUAUACUCCCACACGCUAGGGGUGAGCAAAAAAACCGGAAACCGAAUAUCCGAACCGAACCAAACCGAAAAUUUGAAAUUCGGUUCGGUUUUUUCGAUUUUUCGGUUCGGUUCGGUUUUAAAAUUUUGAAAAUUUUGGUUUUUCGGUUCGGUUCGGUUUUGAUGAAAAAAAAAAACGAAAAAUCGAAAAUCCGAAUUAUAUUUAACACAUAUAUAUAUUAUAUAAAUAGUACUAGACUCUAACCCUAAUUCACUCCUUCCGCCGCCUCUCCAAAUCCAGAUUCUGAAUCUCUUCUCCUCUCCGUCGCAAUCUCUUCUCCUCCCCUCUCCCCUCCUCUCCGUCGCCAUCUCUUCUCCUCUCUGUUUCCCAUCUCUUCUCCUCCCCGUCGCCUCCGCCCUCCAGCCGUGCUCCAGAUUCUUGCCCGUCUGCUCCUCUCCACGUUGGCGCCCCUCCACCCGACGACUCGUCGCCUUCCAGCGUCCAGCAGCCGCCUCCUCCCUCAGCCAGCCACGCCGCUCAAGAAGUAGGUUGAAUUGAGUGACUAGUCUAAGCAACUGCACGGCGCCGCCUCCGCCUGGUUCCACCCUAGCCUCCGCCUCUUCUCGAGGGUAGCGUCAGCCCUCUCAAGUCUGUGCCUUGACGUUGAAUAAUGAAAGAGAAACCAUUGGAGAUAGCAUUGCUUUAACUAAAGUUACUCCCCAUGAGGAUGAUAAAGGCCAUGAAAAAAAGAGAAGUUCUUCCCUUAAUACUUGGAAGUUUGAUCAAGAAAAGGCUAAGAAGGCUUUAGCUUUUAUGCUAAUUGUUGAUGAGUUGCCUAGAUAUGUAAAGUUUAUUGGUUGAUGUAUGUUAAUCAUGUUAUUAUAGUUUUGUGAUUUUUUUAAA